rnacentral:rRNA from 1 species
AGUGAACGCUGGCGGUAGGCCUAACACAUGCAAGUCGAACGGCAGCACAGUAAGAGCUUGCUCUUACGGGUGGCGAGUGGCGGCCGGGUGAGGAAUACAUCGGAAUCUACUUUUUCGUGGGGGAUAACGUCGGGAAACUUACGCUAAUACCGCAUACGACCUACGGGUGAAAGCAGGGGAUCUUCGGACCUUGCGCGUUUGAAUGAGCCGAUGUCGGAUUAGCUAGUUGGCGGGGUAAAGGCCCACCAAGGCGACGAUCCGUAGCUGGUCUGAGAGGAUGAUCGGCCACACUGGAACUGAUACACGGUCCAGACUCCUACGGGAGGCAGCAGUGGGGAAUAUUGGACAAAGGGCGCAAGCCUGAUCCAGCCGUACCGCGGGGGUGAAGAAGGCCUUCGGGUUGUAAAGACCUUUUGUUGGGAAAGAAAAGCAGCAGGUUAAUAUCCCGCUGUUCUGACGGUAGCCAAAGAAUAAGCACCGGCUAACUUCGUG